rnacentral:lncRNA from 1 species
UAUUUGGAUGUUAGAACUCAAGUACCUUAAAGAGUUCGACGUCAUAUUGGGCAUGGACUGGCUCUCUAAGUAUCAUGCAACGAUUGAUUGUAAGGCUGCGUUUGGUUGGAGAACUAAAUUUUGGAGAACAACUUUUGUUGUUCCCGAGAACAGGGGAUAUUCCGGUACAAGAUAGAACAAUUGUAAAUUUGUGUUUGGAUGCAUUCGAGGAUAUUCUAGAGGAUAUCCUUAAUAGCGUUUGGAUAAAAAGUCUAGAACAACGUCUAAAUAUAUUUUUAAAAAUAAAAUAAUUAAUUUAUAUUAGUAUAUUUUAUAUAAAAUUAUUUAUAAAAUUAUUUCGUAUAGUAAUUUAUAAUAUAAUAUUUUAUGUAAGAAUCUAAUUUAAAAUAAUAUAUAUUAUUUUAUUAUAUAUAAUAAUUUAUUUUAUGUAAUAAUUUAUUUUCUAUAAUUUAUUCAUAAUAUAUUAAUGAAUAAAGUAUAA